rnacentral:tRNA from 1 species
GGGCCGUUAGCUCAGUUGGUAGAGCGCUACAUUCGCAUUGUAGAGGUCGUGGGUUCGAUUCCCACACGGUCCA